GGAGGUCACUGCUAUUGGGAUUCGACUAAGCCAUGCGAGUCGAGAGGGUUCGGCCCUCGGCUGACUGCUCAGUAACACGUGGAUAAUCUGCCCUAUGGUGGAGGAUAACCUCGGGAAACUGAGAAUAAUACUCCAUAGGUCUAGGAUACUGGAAUGCACCUAGACUCAAAACUCCGGUGCCAUAGGAUGAGUCUGCGGACUAUCAGGUUGUAGUCAGGGUAAAGACCUGACUAGCCUACGACGGAUAUGGGUUGUGAGAGCAAUAACCCAGAGAUGAUAUCUGAGACACGAUAUCAGGCCCUACGGGGCGCAGCAGGCGCGAAAACUUCACAAUGUGCGAAAGCGCGAUGAGGGAAUCCCAAGUGCUUGCACGUAAGUGUAAGCUGUUUUUAUGUUUAAAACGCAUGGAGAGUAAGAGCUGGGUAAGACGGGUGCCAGCCGCCGCGGUAAUACCUGCAGCUCAAGUGGUGGCCGCUAUUAUUGGGCCUAAAACGUCCGUAGCCUGUUUAAUAAAUGCCUGGGUAAAUCGUGUAGCUUAACCAUACGAAUUCCGGGUAGACUGUUAAACUUGAGACCGGGAGAAGUUAGAGGUACUCCUGGGGUAGAGGUGAAAUUCUGUAAUCCUAGGGGGACCACCAGUGGCGAAGGCGUCUG
rnacentral:rRNA from 1 species